CUUUACUGAAAGCUAAUCUCCGAUAACUGUAAGUCCGUAACCGUCCGCCGAACAGCGCCGAACACCGUCUUCAUUUCUUCUUCUUCAGACUUUACUCUUCAAUUUCUGCAAAAAGAAGGUUAGUUCGUGUUUUAGUUUCAUUGGUUGCUUUCUCUUGCUCGGUGCACUGUGAUUGAUAUGUAUUCUAGGUGUAACGUGUUAGCCAAAGCACAAGAAAUGUUCAAUAAAAUGCCUCAGGGAGAUCUGGUUACUUGAAAUAGUCUGAUCUCAGGUUAUAGCUCAAAUGGGUAUUUUGAAGAGGCACUGGAAACAUAUUAUCAAUUAAGAAUGUUGGGUUUAGUGCCGGAUUUGUUUACAUUUUCUAGUGUUUUACAAGUAUGUGGUGGAUUAGGGGACUUUGACGAGGGCCAGAUAGUUCAUGCGUUUGUGGAAAAGAUUGGGAUUAAGAAGGACGUGAUUGUCUGCAAUGGGUUGCUUUCAAUGUAUUUUAAAGUUGAUAGGCUAACAGAGUGUUGGAGGAUUUUUAUGAGAUGGUUGUUAAAGACAGUGUUACUUGGAAUACCAUGAUUUGUGGGUAUUCUGAGUCAGGUUUGUACAGAGAGUCUAUCAGGUUGUUUUUGGAAUUGGCAAGUCAAUUUGAACCUGAUAUGUUGACAAAACAUCUGUUCUUCGCGCAUGCUCUUACAUUGGGGACCUAAAGUUGGGAAGAUAUGUCCAUGUCUAUAUGGUUAAGAAUGGAUAUGAAUGUGAUACUAUGGCUAGUAAUAUAAUCAUUAACACGUAUGCCAAAUGUGGUGAUUUAUUGGGUUCAAGGCGAGUUUUUGAGAGCAUGAGAACUAAAGAUUCGAUAUCAUGGAACUCACUAAUGAACGAUAAUGUUGAGAAUGGACUUUAUGAUAACGAUGGAGCUUUUUAGGAGGAUGACGAUGAAUUUACGACCUGAUUCUGUUACUUUUGUGACACUUCUAUCUAAUUGCACACAAUUGAUAAACUUAGAAUGGGCAAAGGAACUGCAUUGUGAUAUAAUAAAGAAAGGAUGUGAUUUUUCUCAAGUUGUGGGUACUGCUCUUGUUGAUGUAUAUGCCAAAUGUGGAGCAAUGGAGGAUUCACUAAAACAUUUUAAGAAUUUAUCCUGAAGAUUUUUCGCAACAAGAUAUUUAUUGUUUGAAAAUUGAGUUACAACAUUAUAAGAAUGAUGUGAUUUCCGAACCUCGAUUUUAAGUGCCUACACUUUCUGAUUUAUGUCGGGAAUUGGUUGCAAGUAGAAGGUCAGAGAUUUACGUCAUUUUGACUAAAUUGAUUCAUUUAGUACUGACACUACCGGUUUCAACAGCGACAGUGGAGCGAACAUCUUUAGCAAUGAAACAUGUGAAGACGGAAAUUCGCAACAGAAUGGAUGAUGGUUUUCUUGCUGAUUGUUUAACACUAGACAUUGAACGAGAAUUUAGUAUUAAUUUAGAUCUAGAUUCUAUUAUAGAUGAAUUUUAUGCUAUAAAAUAUCGUUGGGUACAAUUGUAAUAUGUAACAUUAUAUUACAAUUUUUCUAGCUAUAUAUAAAUUUUAUUCGUACAUUCAAUUUUAAAAAAUUUUGCCCCCCGUACCACACAUUCCUGGCUCCGCCCCUGAGCAUCGGCGUGACGAAGCUAAAGUAAACCACACCAUUCUCCUAGAAAAAGAUCAUAUGAACUUUAAACAAAAUGAUACCUAUACUUAAAAUUGAUACAAGUUGGUAGAAAAAAAUGCUUAAGGGUACGAGACAAUUCUAUCUAAGGAACUUGACAAAAUAGCCUCAUAUCUUCAAGAGAAUGGGAGUCCCCUUAUAAUAGGGGAUCAUAGUGACCAGGUCCAGACGACUAUUUACUAAAAAAUAUAGGUCUUCACAAAGUCAUAAGAUCAUGUAUGGAGACUCAUAAUGUCAUAACACGAGUCGACGAUUGAAGCCUGAGUGAAAGGGGCUUAAGGUAAAGAAAUUCCUUGUUGGGAAAGUUUUAACCUGAACUAAAGGCAUAACAUUUUGGGUACUAUGUUGAAGAAAUGCUCAAUAAAAUAGACGUUUCUGUGAAAAUGUAAACUACUUGUACAUGGACAGAAGGGCAUUAUAAAGUCACUAUUCCUUGGGAUAAUGUUUGAGCAUUUCCUGUGUAGCUUUGGUAAAAGGUGAUGAAGACCUCCUGUGGAAAUGCCUAAUCCGUGAGUGAGAUACCACUCCAUAAAAGCUAGAAUUCUAAUUUUGUCUUAGGACCUACAAGCCAAGGGAUGAUCUCAUGUAAACAAUUUAUAUGGGCAUGGGUCUCCCAAAAGGUAACAAAGGCGUAUAAAGGUUUCAUUGGGCUAGAUGGAGAUUGGCCCUCGAGUGCAAAGGCAAAAGGGAGAUUAACUGCAAGACCCACCCUUCGAAUAGGGAUGAAAGUAACUUUAGUAAUCCAAUGAUGCUGAGUGAAAGGGUUGUUGCUUAAAGUAUAAAAUCUACUCUAGGGAUAACAAGCUAAUCUUUCCCAAGAGCUCACAUCAAUGGUGGGGUUUNGUAGUUCAAUGUCGGUUCUUUGCCACUUGAAAGUGUAGUAUGUUCCAAGGAUUGGGUUGUUCGUCCAUUAACGCGGUACAUGAGCUGAGUUCAAAAUGUCAUGAGACAACUUGAUCCAUAUUUAGUAUGGGGGCUAGCUCAUUAAGAUGACCUUCUCUAGUACAAGGGGAUCCAAAAGGAUGCACCUAUGGUAUACUAAUUAUCGUGUCCAUGAUAAAUACUAGGUAAGAAAGUGCAAACCAUUAGUGCACGAGUCGCUUUCAAGUAAUAAAAUGGACUUUUUGAGUUCAAGUUGUCGAUCUCUCAAGAAAUGUUUACUUUUGAUUAUACAAUUUUAAUCAAUUUAAUGUUAACAAUAAAAAUAAACACAAAAUAAGAUUU
rnacentral:rRNA from 1 species